AGAGAUGCAUGUUCUCUACAUGCUGGAAGCAGUCAUCCUGUUGCUAAGGAAACAGCCUCACUCAGCAAGGGUCACCUUUGGAAACAACGGCAAGACUUCAAAGCAGAUCAAUAGAGAAAUACCAAGACCUGAACUUCCUAGCAAAUGCUCUCUUCUAUUUUAAAUAUCCUUUUCAACAAAUGUUUGCUUAUGUGAUUUCUGUUUAGUGGGCAGUAGCAAGGCAAAAUUGAAUGUGUAAUAAGUCGAGCCCAGUAUUUUUCAAGCUCUGGCUCUUGGAGAUCUGUGGUUUUUGGUAGAUGCUUUGAGUGUGGGAUUGUGCAGGAACAGCAGGAUGGAGAUGGAUUGAUAUCAGGUUUAAAAAGAGAUGCUGCAUUUAUGGCUUCAUUCGAGGGAAAGGUUCCACUCACUAAAAAAUGUAGAUUCUUUCCUCAUGCAACACACUUCAUUACUCAUGUGUCCACAUUAGUGAGAUUUUUUUAAUUUCUGAAAAUGUCUUGUCAUAUCUUAGGUUUAUGCACAUUUUUGUGUCACUAAAGAAUAUUUCAUUCAUGUAUUCAUUUGUUCAUUCAUUUGUCAAAUAUCUUUGAUUUUCUACUGUUUCAGGUACUCUGGGGAUAAGAAGUGAAUAGAACAUAUUUAAGUUCUGGGGGACUCAAUCUGAAGAAGAAAGCAGAUACGGAAAUAAAACAGUGGAAUCACUUGCAGAGGAAACACAAGGAAAUGCUUAUAAUUUUUUCCUGGGGAGGUGAGGGAAGGCAUUUGGGGAAAGAAAAUGCCCGAUAUUAUCCUUGAAACAUGGAUUAGAACUGAACAGGGAAUCUAGUCCUAGAAGUCCCAAGACAGAGACAACAGCAAAUACUAAGUGCAGAGAGGUACCAUGUGAAGGCCUGGGCAUAUAACAUGAAACAAGAAAGAUAAGGCCCGUGCUUACAUAGAACUUGGUGAAGAAUCUAGACCAUAACAAGCACACAGAGAAAACGUAUCACAAAUUGUGCUAAAGUUCUGUAAAGGGAUUAAGAUGAAGUGUCACAAGACUGAAUUAGACAGAGUGCCCUUGAAAGAGUGCCAAUUUUUAGAAUGGAGGGUGUAGAUCCAUCCUUUGCAACUGGUGAGGACCUCCUCAGUAAGGCACUGAGCCAGGAGUCUAUACAGCCAUGCCAGCAGGGAGCACUGUCUUUCAUUGUCUGAUGUUUAUUGCAAACCUGUUCUUUUCAGCUUUUUGUUGUUUCAGCCUAGUCCAAAGACGUUUACAUCCUGGAAGAGAACUUGCUGGCUUUUCACCUCAGCAUGUAUGGGCCAAACUAAUAUAACAAGAAGUCUUGAGAGGAGUCAGCGGCCAAGCUCCAUGUCUUGCAGCCAAACAAUGCUGUGGGAUGGAAGGUGGGAUGUCAUGUGUCUGGUUUACAGCACUCACGUAUCAGUUGGCAGUUAACGGAAGUGCUACUGAUUGUAACAGUGGAAGCAAUUUGAAAUGAAAUACAACACUUAAAGCAAAUGAAACGGAAGUGAAUGCCAGCAGUAAAUGGCAAGAAGAAAUCCAGUUCAGUGUGUUCCUCAGAAAUCUUGCCUCUUGGGACUAAAUGCUGCAAAUGUAACUCUUAUCCUUGUUUUUCAAGUUUUACCAUCUCAAAGCUAUCCACUUUAUAUUAAAUUAGUUCUGUUAUAUUAUGUCAAUUUGUAUUCUUAAGAGCACAAGUUUGGCCUCAAAUAGACCUGAGCUGAGAUCCAAUUCUUUAAUUUAUCUGUGUUGUUUUCUUUUUCCUUAGCUUUAAAGUGGAAAAAAUGCUACUUACAUUUUAUUUAUGAAGGUUAAAGAUAAAGUGUCUGAUAUGGGACCUAUCAUAUGUGGUAGGCACUUAGUACAUGGUAGCAAUUAUGAUUAUUAUAUCUGAUAUUAGCAUUAUUAUUAUGAUUUGUUUUAAUCUUCAAAGUAUCAACUGUUUCUAUUACAUUUGUGGUAAAUACUCCUAAACAGAGUUUUUAAGUUCAAGUGUCCAAAGUUGUUAGAAACAAAGAUAUUUGACAAUAACAUAAUCAUAUCACAUGACCUCAUGAUUUAACCACCUCCCAAAGUUGCCACCUCCUAAUAUUAUCACCUUGGGGGUGAGGUUUCAACAUAUGAAUUUUAGAGGAACAUAAACAUUCAGACCAUAGCAAUAAUGAAGAUAAAGAGUUUAUUCAUAGAUAAAUGUUAAGAAGUAGAUACUGUUUGUUAGGAGAAGUGUCCACAGUUAGGGAGAAGUUAGAGGUCUGGUGUCAUCUUUGAUUUUUGUGUUUCUUCCGGAACCCUGUUGCCUGGCUUCCUACACUAUUUCUUGUGUCUUUUUCUUGUAGCUAAACUUGAACAUUUUUUCCUUGAGUACCAUUUUACAAUCAACUGUGCUUUUAUGCAGUGGACUUUCACUGAAUGUCCCCUAUUGGAAAUUUUAACAACAAUUUAACAACUAUUUAUUUGAUACUUUCUGUAUAACCAAUAUUAUUGAACAUCCUAGGAACACAUACAUAAAUAAAACUUGAUCUCUGCUUUCAGAAA
ensembl:lncRNA LINC02223 long intergenic non-protein coding RNA 2223